rnacentral:tRNA from 1 species
AGGGAUGUAAUUAAGUUUGGUAGAAUACUUACUUUGCACGUAAGAAGCCUAGUUUCAAUUCCUAGUAUCUUCA